rnacentral:rRNA from 1 species
UUAACUGGAGAGUUUGAUCCUGGCUCAGAACGAACGCUAGCGGCGUGCCUAACACAUGCAAGUCGAACGAGAAAGUCCACUUCGGUGGAUCAGUAAAGUGGCGAACGGGUGAGUAACGCGUGGGUAAUCUACCCUAAAGUCGGGGAUAACACCUCGAAAGGGGUGCUAAUACCGGAUAAUAUCCCUGGGACUCCGGUCUUGGGGAUCAAAGAUGGCCUCUGCUCGCAAGCUGUCGCUUUAGGAUGAGCCCGCGUACCAUUAGCUAGUUGGUAGGGUAAUGGCCUACCAAGGCUACGAUGGUUAGCUGGUCUGAGAGGAUGGCCAGCCACACUGGAACUGAGACACGGUCCAGACUCCUACGGGAGGCAG